GACGAACGCUGGCGGCGUGCUUAACACAUGCAAGUCGAACGAGAAAGCCCUUCGGGGUAAGUACAGUGGCGAACGGGUGAGUAACACGUGGGCAACCUGCCCCGGAGAGCGGGACAACCCGAGGAAACUCGGGCUAAUACCGCAUGAUGCGUCUCCACUUAAGUGGAGCCGCCCAAUGGUAGCUUCGGCCUCCGCCCUGGGAUGGGCCCGCGCCGGAUUAGCUAGUUGGUUGGGGUAAUGGCCCACCAAGGCGACGAUCCGUAGCUGGUCUGAGAGGAUGAACGGCCACACUGGGACUGAGACACGGCCCAGACUCCUACGGGAGGCAGCAGUGGGGAAUCUUCCGCAAUGGACGAAAGUCUGACGGAGCAACGCCGCGUGAGUGAAGAAGGCCUUCGGGUCGUAAAGCUCUGUCGUUUGGGACGAACGUGCUUUGUGUGAAUAAUGCAAAGUAAUGACGGUACCAAAGGAGGAAGCCACGGCUAACUACGUGCCAGCCGCCGCCGUAA
rnacentral:rRNA from 1 species